GACGGAAGGUGCAAGCGUUGCUCGGAAUCACUGGGCGUAAAGGGUGCGUAGGCGGCCGUGCAAGUCUGGCGUGAAAGCCCCGGGCUCAGCCCGGGAAGUGCGCUCGAAACUGCGCGGCUCGAGUGCCGGAGGGGAGAGUGGAAUUCCUGGUGUAGCGGUGAAAUGCGUAGAUAUCUGGAGGAACACCGGUGGCGAAGGCGGCAUCCUGGACCGACACUGACGCUGAGGAGCGAAAGCCAGGGGAGCAAACGGG
rnacentral:rRNA from 1 species